rnacentral:lncRNA from 1 species
UAUUCAUGAUGUUAUUAUUAUUUUUUUUUAAAACGUUUUUUUUUUAUCGUCCCUAAUAUAAAAUAUUUGUAGAUUUUUCUUCACACACGUGAAACCUACGUGUGGACGCAAACAUUGGAUUUCUAAGCAAUGUUUAUUGUGAGGGUCUUUUUUUAUAAUUCAUAUAAUUCCUUGUAAAUGUCAUAAUCUAGGCUAAAUGACGAGGCACUUACUUUGGAUCAAUAAUUCAUAAGAACACAGUCACAUAUUAAUGCAGUGACUUAUCAAUUAGCCUUAAUUGACAAUCUUAUUAAUUAACCUUUCUUUUUAUCAUGCAGCGCUAUCAAGCUCGUUUACUGAGAGAGAGCUCCAAACAACAACCAAUCGACUGAUGAGCAGGGGUGCCAGUGAAAUCUGCGCGCGAGGGGGAGGACGUCAUCUAUAUUCACAUCUAUGCAAAGUUUCCCAGCAUUUCAUCUCGACACUUUCUGCCCAUGUAAACGGCUGGAGUCCCGUCCAGAGAAUCAGACAGCUGCUGGUGCUGAUGCUGGAGCAGGGAGUCUCAGCAUCCUCUUCCUCCGUCAUUAGUCGAGUUCGGGCUCUCCACCGCACCGUCGGCACCAACGCGGGAGAAAACACCGAUUUACUGGUCAACCAACUGGCUGGCUGCAAAUAAAUGGAAGGACCUAAAGAAUGAGUCAUCUUUCAUCUGCUGUUUAACAGUUUUCUGAACGCCUAGCUGCUA